rnacentral:rRNA from 1 species
GGGUUGUGAGGUUAAGCGACUAAGCGUACACGGUGGAUGCCCUGGCAGUCAGAGGCGAUGAAGGGCGUGCUAAUCUGCGAUAAGCGCCGGUAAGGUGAUAUGAACCGUUAUAACCGGCGAUACCCGAAUGGGGAAACCCAGUGUGACUCGUCACACUAUCAUUAACUGAAUCCAUAGGUUAAUGAGGCGAACCGGGGAACUGAAACAUCUAAGUACCCCGAGGAAAAGAAAUCAACCGAGAUUCCCCCAGUAGCGGCGAGCGAACGGGGAGGAGCCCAGAGCCUGAAUCAGCAUGUGUGUUAGUGGAAGCGUCUGGAAAGGCGCGCGAUACAGGGUGACAGCCCCGUACACAAAAGCGCAUGUGCUGUGAGCUCGAUGAGUAGGGCGGGACACGUGGUAUCCUGUCUGAAUAUGGGGGGACCAUCCUCCAAGGCUAAAUACUCCUGACUGACCGAUAGUGAACCAGUACCGUGAGGGAAAGGCGAAAAGAACCCCGGCGAGGGGAGUGAAAAAGAACCUGAAACCGUGUACGUACAAGCAGUGGGAGCACAGGUUUACCUGUGUGACUGCGUACCUUUUGUAUAAUGGGUCAGCGACUUAUAUUCUGUAGCAAGGUUAACCGAAUAGGGGAGCCGGAGGGAAACCGAGUCUUAAUUGGGCGUUAAGUUGCAGGGUAUAGACCCGAAACCCGGUGAUCUAGCCAUGGGCAGGUUGAAGGUUGGGUAACACUAACUGGAGGACCGAACCGACUAAUGUUGAAAAAUUAGCGGAUGACCUGUGGCUGGGGGUGAAAGGCCAAUCAAACCGGGAGAUAGCUGGUUCUCCCCGAAAGCUAUUUAGGUAGCGCCUCGUGAAUUCAUCUCCGGGGGUAGAGCACUGUUUCGGCUAGGGGGCCAUCCCGGCUUACCAACCCGAUGCAAACUGCGAAUACCGGAGAAUGUUAUCACGGGAGACACACGGCGGGUGCUAACGUCCGUCGUGAAGAGGGAAACAACCCAGACCGCCAGCUAAGGUCCCAAAGUCAUGGUUAAGUGGGAAACGAUGUGGGAAGGCCCAGACAGCCAGGAUGUUGGCUUAGAAGCAGCCAUCAUUUAAAGAAAGCGUAAUAGCUCACUGGUCGAGUCGGCCUGCGCGGAAGAUGUAACGGGGCUAAACCAUGCACCGAAGCUGCGGCAGCGACACUGUGUGUUGUUGGGUAGGGGAGCGUUCUGUAAGCCUGCGAAGGUGGCCUGUGAGGGUUGCUGGAGGUAUCAGAAGUGCGAAUGCUGACAUAAGUAACGAUAAAGCGGGUGAAAAGCCCGCUCGCCGGAAGACCAAGGGUUCCUGUCCAACGUUAAUCGGGGCAGGGUGAGUCGACCCUAAGGCGAGGCCGAAAGGCGUAGUCGAUGGGAAACGGGUUAAUAUUCCCGUACUUGGUGUUACUGCGAAGGGGGGACGGAGAAGGCUAUGUUGGCCGGGCGACGGUUGUCCCGGUUUAAGCGUGUAGGUGUGUGUUCCAGGUAAAUCCGGUUCACUUUAACACUGAGGCGUGACGACGAGGCACUACGGUGCUGAAGCAACAAAUGCCCUGCUUCCAGGAAAAGCCUCUAAGCAUCAGGUAACAUCAAAUCGUACCCCAAACCGACACAGGUGGUCAGGUAGAGAAUACCAAGGCGCUUGAGAGAACUCGGGUGAAGGAACUAGGCAAAAUGGUGCCGUAACUUCGGGAGAAGGCACGCUGACACGUAGGUGAAGUGAUUUACUCAUGGAGCUGAAGUCAGUCGAAGAUACCAGCUGGCUGCAACUGUUUAUUAAAAACACAGCACUGUGCAAACACGAAAGUGGACGUAUACGGUGUGACGCCUGCCCGGUGCCGGAAGGUUAAUUGAUGGGGUCAGCGCAAGCGAAGCUCCUGAUCGAAGCCCCGGUAAACGGCGGCCGUAACUAUAACGGUCCUAAGGUAGCGAAAUUCCUUGUCGGGUAAGUUCCGACCUGCACGAAUGGCGUAAUGAUGGCCAGGCUGUCUCCACCCGAGACUCAGUGAAAUUGAACUCGCUGUGAAGAUGCAGUGUACCCGCGGCAAGACGGAAAGACCCCGUGAACCUUUACUAUAGCUUGACACUGAACAUUGAGCCUUGAUGUGUAGGAUAGGUGGGAGGCUUUGAAGUGUGGACGCCAGUCUGCAUGGAGCCGACCUUGAAAUACCACCCUUUAAUGUUUGAUGUUCUAACGUGGACCCGUUACCCGGGUUGCGGACAGUGUCUGGUGGGUAGUUUGACUGGGGCGGUCUCCUCCUAAAGAGUAACGGAGGAGCACGAAGGUUGGCUAAUCCUGGUCGGACAUCAGGAGGUUAGUGCAAUGGCAUAAGCCAGCUUGACUGCGAGCGUGACGGCGCGAGCAGGUGCGAAAGCAGGUCAUAGUGAUCCGGUGGUUCUGAAUGGAAGGGCCAUCGCUCAACGGAUAAAAGGUACUCCGGGGAUAACAGGCUGAUACCGCCCAAGAGUUCAUAUCGACGGCGGUGUUUGGCACCUCGAUGUCGGCUCAUCACAUCCUGGGGCUGAAGUAGGUCCCAAGGGUAUGGCUGUUCGCCAUUUAAAGUGGUACGCGAGCUGGGUUUAGAACGUCGUGAGACAGUUCGGUCCCUAUCUGCCGUGGGCGCUGGAGAACUGAGGGGGGCUGCUCCUAGUACGAGAGGACCGGAGUGGACGCAUCACUGGUGUUCGGGUUGUCAUGCCAAUGGCACUGCCCGGUAGCUAAAUGCGGAAGAGAUAAGUGCUGAAAGCAUCUAAGCACGAAACUUGCCCCGAGAUGAGUUCUCCCUGAGACUUAAAGUCUCCUGAAGGAACGUUGAAGACGACGACGUUGAUAGGCCGGGUGUGUAAGCGCAGCGAUGCGUUGAGCUAACCGGUACUAAUGAACCGUGAGGCUUAACCUUACAACGCCGAAG